CUUGGACCCGGCCCUGCCGGGUGGCUCGUCCGGGCGCCUAUCCCCCGGAAACCU
rnacentral:ncRNA from 1 species